rnacentral:tRNA from 1 species
GGGCCUAUAGCUCAAUUGGUAGAGCCACCGGCUCAUAACCGGUUGGUCCCUGGUUCGAGUCCAGGUGGGCCCACCA